GUCAAGCUAUUUUUUCUUUUAUUCCUUAAAUUUUAUUCUAUUUUACAUUUUGUUGUACCGUUUUAUAUCUCAGUUAAAGAAGAUUGUGUUUGUUAAAAUUGUUCUCAAGCUGUCAGUAGUUUUCUUUUGACUUUAUCGUGUAUAUAUGUAUAUAAAGAAGAACAUCAAUACACUAGUUGAUAGCCGCCAGUGGUGGAUUGACCCGGGCAUAGGCCGGGGGCAUAAUUGGCACGUGUUGAGGAGACAAAUUGGAAAGAAACAAAAUGAAUGAUUGUCGAUAGUUUAACGUCCAGUGGCAAAUAUUUCAUGCAUGUUUCACUGGACGAGGAUAUCAACUGGCAGAAGAAUGAAAAAAUAAAGUGGAAUGGUAAAAAACAAAUACGAUAUAGCAGAGACAUAUAAUACAAUAUGUCUCUGGAUAUAGUAAUAUGGAAACGAAUAAAAUAUUUAAAUGGUUUACAUGGUGCCCCCAGGCAUACGAGGUUCUGGUCCGCACAUACAAUCAAUUUCUUAAAAAAUGUGGGUCCCCCCCCCC
rnacentral:lncRNA from 1 species